UGGGGAAUCUUCCGCAAUGGGCGCAAGCCUGACGGAGCAACGCCGCGUGAGUGAAGAAGGGUUUCGACUCGUAAAGCUCUGUUGUCGGGGACGAAUGUGGAGAUGGUGAAUAACCAUUUCCAAUGACGGUACCUGACGAGGAAGCCACGGCUAACUACGUGCCAGCAGCCGCGGUAAUACGUAGGUGGCGAGCGUUGUCCGGAAUUAUUGGGCGUAAAGGGAGCGCAGGCGGGAGGUCAAGUCUAUCUUAAAAGUGCGGGGCUCAACCCCGUGAGGGGAUGGAAACUGGUCUUCUUGAGUGCAGGAGAGGAAAGCGGAAUUCCUAGUGUAGCGGUGAAAUGCAUAGAUAUGACGCAGAACUCCGAUUGCGAAGGCAGCUUUCCAGCGCGCUACUGACGCUGAGGCACGAAAGCGUGGGGAUCGAACAGGAUUAGAUACCCUGGUAGU
rnacentral:rRNA from 1 species